rnacentral:rRNA from 1 species
UUGGACCUGAUAUCAGGCAAGAUUACCGCGUGAACUUAUGCAU